UAUUUAGUUGUCCAUUUUGACAAAUCAAGAAAGGACAACAAAUUUUUCCUAUUAUACCCUUAUUUACACUUCUUGAAAAUUGUAAAAGUGUAUGUUGUUUCCCUCCAAUUUAUUUCACUUGAAUUCAAAUAAGUGGUUGUAAUUUUGAAGUGAAAAGUUGUCAUAAGGGUAAAAUUGUAACUUCACUGUGCUAAUCAUUGUUGCCUUAAUCUGUGUGCCAUUUCUAAAGUGGACAACUAAAAAGG
rnacentral:lncRNA from 1 species